rnacentral:rRNA from 1 species
CCUACGGGUGGCAGCAGUGGGGAAUAUUGCACAAUGGGGGAAACCCUGAUGCAGCGACGCCGCGUGAGUGAAGAAGUAUCUCGGUACGUAAAGCCCUUUCAGCAGGGAAGAAAAUGACGGUACCUGACGACGAAGCCCCGGCUAACUACGUGCCAGCAGCCGCGGUAAUACGUAGGGCGCAAGCGUUAUCCGGAUUUACUGGGUGUAAAGGGAGCGUAGAUGGCUCCACAAGUCUGGCGUGAAAUUCCCGGGCUCAACCGUGGAAUUGCAGUUGAAACUGGAGGCCUUGAGUGCACACAGGGAUGGCGGAAUUCGUGGUGUAGCGGUGAAAUGCUUAGAGAUCACGAAGAACUCCGAUCGCGAAGGCAAGUUACCGGGGUCCAACUGACGCUGAGGCACGAAAGUGCGGGUAUCAAACAGGAUUAGAUACCCUAGUAGUC